rnacentral:rRNA from 1 species
UCUUUUCAGAAUUGAGUGGCAAACGGGUGAGUAACACGUAAACAACCUGCCUUCAGGAUGGGGACAACAGACGGAAACGACUGCUAAUACCGAAUAAGUUCCAAGAGCCGCAUGGCCCAUGGAAGAAAAGGUGGCCUCUACCUGUAAGCUAUCGCCUGAAGAGGGGUUUGCGUCUGAUUAGCUAGUUGGUGAGAUAACAGCCCACCAAGGCGACGAUCGGUAGCCGACCUGAGAGGGUGAUCGGCCCAUUGGAACUGAGAGACGGUCCAGACUCC